UACGUAGGGUGCAAGCGUUGUCCGGAAUUAUUGGGCGUAAAGGGCGCGUAGGCGGCUAGAUGUGUCAAAGGUGAAAUCCCUCGGCUCAACUGAGGAACUGCCUUUGAAACUGUCUGGCUUGAGGCCGGGAGAGGGUAGCGGAAUUCCCAGUGUAGCGGUGAAAUGCGUAGAUAUCUGGAGGAACACCGGUGGCGAAGGCGGCAUCCUGGACCGGUAUUGACGCUGAGGCGCGAAAGCUAGGGGAGCAAACGGG
rnacentral:rRNA from 1 species